UACGAAGGGGGCUAGCGUUGUUCGGAAUUACUGGGCGUAAAGGGCGCGUAGGCGGUCCUGAUCGUCGGAUGUGAAAGGCCUGGGCUCAACCUGGGAACUGCAUCCGAUACGGCGGGACUGGAGUGUGGGAGAGGUUGGUGGAAUUCCCAGUGUAGAGGUGAAAUUCGUAGAUAUUGGGAAGAACCACCGGUGGCGAAGGCGGCCAACUGGACCACAACUGACGCUGAGGCGCGAAAGCGUGGGGAGCAAACAGGAUUAGAUACCGAGAGUC
rnacentral:rRNA from 1 species